CACAAUUUCCUAUCGUCCUCCUAUUAUUUUUAUUUUUAUAUUUUUUCAUCUUCACCCAACCUCAUCUCCAUUUUCACGCGCCAUUACACAGACAACCAUCUCCUCAUCCAUUUUCACACGUAAAAGAGCUAGCCAAUAUUUUUAUCCAAAAAUUUAGGAAAAUCGAAUGUCUAAAGCAUCACCUCAGGCGUGGUUGAAGCAAAAGAAAAACAACUGUCCGUGAAGCUAAUUGCUCCAACAACGGUUGCGGCUCAAAUUCCGGUCCACCAAGUUUUGUCUCCGCGCAGCGUGGAGCUCCGUGAGGUCUCCGAGCAGUUGCCUCCACGGAGCGCGGAUCUUGACUUCGACCCGGAAUGUAAUCUUUGGCGUAUUGUUCUGCUGGUGUUCCUCCUACUGCCGGCCCUAGGGCCUCAAAAAAAAAAGGUGAAAUUUUUUUUAUAUUGGAAUUGAUCUCUCGCAGAAUUGAUCGCAUCUUCCUCUCCUAAUCAAUCACCUCUUCUUUGUUCUUCCAGUCAAUCUCAAACAAUCGAGGCGGUGAUAGGGCAGGCUCGCCAUUUUUAUUUGCCAGGAGUAAGAUCAAUUGAGCAAGUAGGAAUGACAGGGGAUAGCCCAAUUUUUUAUCUCCCAACUGUGUUUCUGCUUCUCCUUAUAGCUUAUUCACUUCUCAUUUUGUGUUGAUUUUACUUUUUUACUGCUUCAUAUUUGUACACUUCUAAUAAUGUUUGGUGUGCUAGCUAAUUAUUUUCAACAAAUUACAAAUUACACUUAUAAUGAAUGUUUGAAUGGGACAAGCGAAUCAUGAAGUAAAGUUGUUCGAUUAAAUGCUUCAGUAAGGCCAUUGUUUAUUUAGUUUCCAGCUGGAGGGUUCUACAUGGCGUGGCUAAUCAUCAUCGUAUUAUUAAUUGUACUUUGGGUGCAAAUUUUGUUGUGGAUUCCAAAGCUGCAUUCUUAAAUGAUGGUAAUGAAUCAUGUUUGUGUAUAUCUCUGUAAAUAUGGUUAGGGAUGUUUUAAAUAAGUUUUUUCAAGAUUAUUUUGUGUUGUUUGCUGCUAGGAAUGGUUUUCCGAUAGAGAAACGUGUUGCUGGUUAUUGCGCACCCUGAUGAUGAGUCUGGGUAGGUUUGAAUUCCAAAAUUUUAUGUUUUACUCCGGUCUGCAUUAAUAAUAGAGCUUUGCUGCCUGGGUUUAUGAAUAUCAAAGACCUACUUUAUUUUAUUAAGUUAUUUAUUUUGUUUCUUGGGAUUUGUACUUUGCUGCAGUGGUGAAUUCUCAUUAAAACAAUAGUAAUGUAUGAUGAAUUCCAGUUAACUUAGAGUGAUAUUGGAAACUGAAGUUAUAUUGUGUAGCACUUCCAAGGUUUUCAAAUAUAGCUGUGGUUUUAACUUAAAUAUUUAAGUAUUUCUACUUGUUAUAAAUUUAAAAAGAAAAAAAUUAAGGCCUCAUAAUAAUUAAUCGCUUAGGCCUCAAAAUUCUCAGGGCCGACCCUGCUUCUACACUUCAUUCUCCAAUUCACAAAGUUUCCGCAAUCACUUACUCUAUUCCACAGUUAAAGUUUAUUUCUUAUAUUUUUAUCUAUCAUUUUGAGGGGUUGAGAUUGUGGGUUUUGGUUUUUUUGUGAGAUUGAUUGAAUCGAACACGUUUGUAAACUAAUGCCUCUAUCUUUGUUUGUGGAAAAAAAAAGAAGAAUGUUAUUUUGGGAAUGGAACUUCACAAAUUGGGAUUUUGUUCAUGCCAAGCAAUUUAUUUCCUUACUUUGCAUCUAUAUAGAAUUUUCAAUUUCCCUGUAUAUUAAUGGAAUAGGUGUAUGCUUAUCAGGAAGAGACACGCAAGUAACGUGCGAGGAAUUUGAUAUCUUUUGGUAAAACCAUUGCUUUGUAAAGGGUUCAUCCCUUGCUAAAUCUGUGUGGGUUUAGGGGUUUUCCUUUUAAAAGGCGUGUUAAUGCUUUUGGUUUUUUGACAGUUGGAAGAUUGGUUCUUCUCAAGUUCAAUCGAAACUCAUUUGUUUUCAUCUAACAAAUCAUUCUUUGAGAGACCAUAGCAAAUAUCGAUUUUGAUACUUUGCGACAAAACAUCUUCCUCAAUAAAAGCACUCAACAAGUAUAUUGUUUUCUCAAUAUUGCCUUUGGUCUUAGUUCUUAAUGCUAAAUAAAGGGCUCAUGGAGAGUUAAUGAGUUGAGUUUGUGGCCAAAAUUGAUGAAAUGGAACUAAUAUCCAAUCGCAAUCUUUUAUGGUUGAAUAUUGACGUCUUGCUAAAAUAGACUUUCUUAAGAACUAGCAAGUAGGAAAAGGACAAGAAAUUAGUGUGAGAAUACUCAAUUUCCUAAAUCUUCCAUUUGAACCUGACUUGAUUAUUAGAAGUUUCUUGUCAUCCUCUCAUUAGCCCGUCAGCCCUAACAACGAAGAGGAAAAGGAAAACAGAACAACAGUUCUAUUGUUUGGUACAUGCUAUGUUCUUGGUUCUAUUUCAUAGCAUUUGAUAGUGCCAUUUUAGUUAAGUUUUACAUGAUGACAUUAGUCACAGAUAUUGUUUCAUCUUAAUUUGAGGCAACCAAAGCUCAAGUAGCAAUUGAAGACGAGCCAUUUUUUGGAUGAAAAUUAUUUUUGAAUGAGAGAAAAAUACAAAAUUGGAAUUACAGUUUCAAUUUUUCAUCUAUAAACUCUUAUUGUUAUGCUUCAAAAAUCUUGUGUCCAGUUUUGGUUUCUAUAUUUGAUCCGAAAGUUUUACCAAUAAUAAUAGCUAUGAUUGUAAUUAUUAUUAGCAUAAUGAUGUUGAUAUUCAUAGAUAAGAUCUAAGAUUCUUGUCAUCAAUUGGAAAGUUAAGGAUUUUACCAACUUUGUGAGUAUUUGUAAUCUCUAUUUCAUCUUCUGGUACAGGUAAUUGAUAUUGUUGUUAUUUUCACUUCUCAUGAUAACAAUCUCAAGCAACACUCUAUUCCAUUUUAGGUAUAGUUCAGAGCUUAAUGUUCUCUAGAUUCAAGUGCCCGGGUAACACUGAUCAAGGAUAAGAAGAAAUAUGGUAUGANNN
rnacentral:lncRNA from 1 species